rnacentral:rRNA from 1 species
UGAGGAAUUUUGCGCAAUGGGGGAAACCCUGACGCAGCAACGCCGCGUGGGUGAAGAAGGCCUUCGGGUCGUAAAACCCUGUCGAGUGGGAAGAAAGGCCGUGGGGUGAAUAUCCUUGCGGUUUGACGGUACCAUUAAAGGAAGCACCGGCUAACUCCGUGCCAGCAGCCGCGGUAAUACGGAGGGUGCGAGCGUUAUUCGGAAUUACUGGGCGUAAAGGGCGCGUAGGCGGCCGAAUUUGUCCGAUGUGAAAGCCCGGGGCUUAACCUCGGAAGUGCAUUGGAAACGGUUCGGCUUGAGUGUCGGAGAGGGUGGGGGAAUUCCCGGUGUAGAGGUGAAAUUCGUAGAGAUCGGGAGGAAUACCAGUGGCGAAGGCGCCCACCUGGACGAUGACUGACGCUGAGGCGCGAAAGCGUGGGGAGCAAACA